AUUGAACGCUGGCGGCAGGCCUAACACAUGCAAGUCGAGCGGAUGAAGGGAGCUUGCUCCUGGAUUCAGCGGCGGACGGGUGAGUAAUGCCUAGGAAUCUGCCUGGUAGUGGGGGAUAACGUCCGGAAACGGGCGCUAAUACCGCAUACGUCCUGAGGGAGAAAGUGGGGGAUCUUCGGACCUCACGCUAUCAGAUGAGCCUAGGUCGGAUUAGCUAGUUGGUGGGGUAAAGGCCUACCAAGGCGACGAUCCGUAACUGGUCUGAGAGGAUGAUCAGUCACCCGGGAGCUGAGACACGGUCCAGACUCCUACGGGAGGCAGCAGUGGGGAAUAUUGGACAAUGGGCGAAAGCCUGAUCCAGCCAUGCCGCGUGUGUGAAGAAGGUCUUCGGAUUGUAAAGCACUUUAAGUUGGGAGGAAGGGCAGUAAGUUAAUACCUUGCUGUUUUGACGUUACCAACAGAAUAAGCACCGGCUAACUUCGUG
rnacentral:rRNA from 1 species